GCCCCCACGCCCAGUCCCCGGAGAUGAACCAAUCACGUCAUCACGCCCCACUCUCGGCCCAAAGGCCGUCCCUCCACCCAGGCAGAACCACCCCGUAUCGUCGUAGAGAUAUGUGUCUGCCACAGUACUGCAGGCCUGGCGGCUCGGGACCCAGAGCUUCUUCCAACUCCUCGGUUUUGAAGCUUGUAAGAGACCCCUGAGGAGCCGGGGAAAACGAGUUUUCGCCAGAUUGGAGCCUUGGGUCGUCUGCAGAAACCACUCAUGCGCGCUUGGGAGUCACCACAAAGGAACCUGGAUCCUGCCCCCGAGAGCUAUAAACCCCCAGCCCAGGCCCCCAGCCAAUCAGGAAACAACGGGUAACCGCGCAGGUUACCUCGGAUAUCCACCGCCGCCAUAAUUCCAAAAGCGCUCACGGCUCCUCCUUCCGGCGCCCCGUGAACGUAACACGGACGACGGAAGCGUCGCGCUGCGGACCGCAGGGACUGGCGGGAACGACAGUAACCAUGUAUUCAUGAGAUUGUGUAGCACUAAACCUCGUAAGACUCCAUGAUGCAUCAAAAAGCAAUAGCAAAGGUGGACUAGAUUGAUCAGAUUCCCGUAUGGCAUUCAAAGACAGUUAAGAAUCCUCACACCCUUUGGGUUGUGUAUGCCCCUGGAUGCUUGGCUAAUUCCAGCGUGAAGCAAAGGAAGUAUCCCAAGGAAGAUCCUUGACUGACUACUGAUACGUUUUGAAAACAUACCAGGAGAAGAGGGACCAGAUUCCAACCUGAACUCCUAAGAAUGAGGUCUCAGAAGCGGGUCUGAAAUUAGGUGAAGCUGGGAGGAAAAAGUUGCCAACUUACUUUUGAGAGAACAGAAGCUUGGGGAAGAUAAACAAGUCACUCAAAUUCACAGCGAUGGGUGGUGCAGUCCAAGCUUUAGGUACCCUUACUCUCUCCCAUUUUGCUCUUCCAUCUUUAAUGUAUUGAACAUAACAACUAAAAUUCAAACUGGAAUCAAAAGGUGAGUAUGAUGGCUCCUAGAAGAGGAAUGAGAAUGGGCACUUUGCUCUAGCCAGGGGAAUAAUUGGUACAAAGACACAGAAGUAGAAGGGAUUUUGUUCAAAGAGAGCAGGGAUAUGAUGCCUUGAGCAUACAAUGUGAUGAUGCUGGAAAAUGAGACUGGUGUUCCAGAUCUUAUUUGCUUAGGUGUUUUUUGUUUGUUUUUUGCUUAGGAGUUUUGAUUUGAUCCUAAAGGCAUUGGCUAGUCAAUAGAGGCUUGUAUUUGAUAAUGGGAACUCAGAUGUCAAUGUGGAGGGCGAAUUGGAUGCCUACUAAGCAAUAGCUCCUAACAAUCCAGACAAAAGUGCUGGACUAAUCCAAGGCAGGAGCUCUGAAAGUAAUAAAGAUACGAGCCUUGGCGGGGUAAAAGAAAUUUGCUCUGCUCCUCCCCCAGGCCCAGAGGUGCACAGACCUCAAUUGACUCUUGGAUAUGUGUAAAAAAUGGGAAUGGUCAGCAAAGGAAUGCUGUCCUGAGUUUUUUACACAUCAGUAAUGCUUCCCACUGAGGGUUCUUCUUUACCAAUCCAAAUGGGGAAUCAUCAUUUGUGGACUUUGGAGGAAAAGUGCAGGCAAGAGGGAAAGGAGGAAGACACUAACUCACUAGUGUUCUAUUUCUCCCCAUGGAAUGGCAUGAGGCAUAUAUCAAACGGAAGCACGAAUGGGGAUAUCAUCUCACUGCCAAGGAAUUCUGAACAACAACAACAAAAAAGCUCCUGCUUUUUUAUGGAUUUAUGGGACCACAGGAAGGAAGAGGGGAAAGAGCAUGGUGUGAAAAGUCUCAUCAUGUGGAUGCUUUCCUUUGGGCAAAGCUGACCGGAAGCAAGAGGACAAAGGAGCCCACUUGGUACAUGAGGGGGAUGAUUGAAGAUUCAAUAUGGAUAAAUUCUGGUGAUGGAAAUGCUGUAAUUUUCUCAGGUAAAUUGUGAAGUUGAAUGCAAUUAGAAAAACAUCCCCAAAAUAGCUUUGGUUUGGUUGGCAUGUGACCAAACCCUGAACAGCUUAGAUUAGUAUAAAAGAGAUUCAAAUAUAUGUCUUUCGCAUAUGCUUAGGAAACUGAGCUGAAAGGAGAGGGAAGCAGCACAUGCCAUCUGUUUAGGAGCUAUGUAAGCUUCAGAGCCUGAAAUGGUGAAAGCAGGAAAGGGGCUUUAGUCUCUUAAGACCAGUAGGCAGUGAGAAAGGCAUAGGCUCAGAGAAGCAGAAACAAGGUCAGAACCCAGGACAGAAUCUGAGGCCCAUAAAGCCAGCAGGAGCACCAUGCCUUCUGCUGUGUACCAUACCAAGUGCUUGCCACAAAAUAGCUCCACAUACAUCUUCUCUAAGAAACCUCCCUACGUAUCCCAGCAGUAAUGAGCUAUUCCAUUAGUGGUAAGGUCAUCCAUAGGAUUCACUGGCUCUCGCCCAGAGCUUACCUGUUAGGGAUGAAAGGGGAGGUUUUGAUGACAUUGAGCCAAAGGACCUCAAGUAGUAGAAACCUACUGUGGGUCACUUACCUUUCUCCCCUGUGAGGUUCACCAGCACACAGUACGUUCAAGAGCCAUCGACAGAUGAGAAGUCAAAAUACUACUUUAUUUUCACCUGAAUAGAUGCUGAAUUUCUUAGUGCAGAGCUCUCUUGUGAAAACAAAGUCAGAGCAAGCAGCUGACAGUAAAGGCCUGCCCAAGCCUCUCCUUCCCCACUACACACCAAAAUCUUCUCACACUCUGUCCUGCCAUAUUGGAUCAGAAAUGGAAGCAAUAAAAAGUAUGCUCAUCUAUGCAACUGAAGAAGAGAAAACAAGAUGGCCAGAUCCCCAAGAGCAGGCCUUGGUUUAGCAUACCUAUUCCUGCUGCAGGAAGUCGAAGAAAAAGCUGCAUGGAGGUUCCUAGCCCUGCCCUUGUUCAAUAUGGCCCAAUUAAUUUCCUGGAAUCUGACCAAUCUAAUGAACAAGUCCUCCCUGGGAGAAGACAAAGGUCCGGAGAGAAGGGGAGAGAUGAGAGUGCUCUUUUCUCUAAAUACUUGCUCCUCAAAAUGUGGGCCCUGGACCAGCGGUAUCAGCAUCAUCUAGCUUGUUAGAAAUGCACAAUCUUGGGCCUCGCCCUAGAUGAACGGAAUCUGGGAAUAGCAUUUUAAUAAAAUCUCCAAGGGAUUCACAUGCACAUUAAAGCUUGAGAAGUAUUGAGUUUCCGAAUCCUAAAUCCAUGCCCAAAUUGUCAUCUUGAUCUUUGCUUGCUUCCAAAAGUAUUGCUCCGCAUAUGGUCAAGAGUUAAUGAAAGGAUGUUUGAGAAAUUCUCUUUGGCACCUAUUUAAUUCCAUGUGAAGGGAGAAGCUCAUUUCUGAGAAACCAGCACACGUUCACCAGUGAGUGGCUUAGAGACAGAAGCACACUGAAGACAAGCAAACAAAACAGUUGUAGACACACACACAGCUCCGCAGAGUAGGACAGAUGGGCAUAGUAAAUUUCCUGUCACUCCAUCCCUCCACCCAUAAUAUUUUCUCCCUUCCUCACUCAUGCUCUCCUUCAUCCAAGCUACUAAGAAGCUUUUGUGUUGGGCUCUGUCUCACACACAGUAUAGAACCACAUGCAUCACAUGUCUCUUGCAGCCCAGUCCUCAAACCCAAAAUCUAAGAAUGAGAUACUGCACCACUAAGCCAGGAUAUGGUAGGAUAACAAAAAGCAAUUUGGCACAGCAGUAUUUGUCACCUUUAAAUAGUUGUGACUGUCACGACCCAACGCAUACCUUAGUUCCAACAGUACCAAAAUCCCAGGCCUGGAUCUUUGUCCAACAUUUGCCUGAGUAGGAAGAGCACUCAACUCCCAAUUUCCUCUCUUUGCUCUACCUGAUAUAAUACCUUAUAGUAAAAAGCGCCACAGGCUGACAAACAUUUAUGGAUUAACAAGUCUGUCAUCAUAUUAUUAGGGGAUCCAAUAAUGACAGGAUUUAAUGAAUAAUGAUUAAAUUACCAUCUGCUGAGCACUUAUAAUGUACUUGACCACAACCUUAUGAAGUAAGUAGUAUCCCCAUAUAACAAGUGAGGGAAUUUGAAGUUUUCAGAAAUUGAGUAACUUACCCAGGAAGCAGCAAAGAUAAAAACCCCACGUACAUCUUAAGUACAAAGCCUCUCAACCACUACAAUAAUAUAAUGUUUCAGUUGUCAAAAAACACUGCGAACUCCCUGUGUGGGUAAAGAAUCAUUUUCCUUCUCUGGGGCUAAUGUAAGGAUUAAAUGGGAUUAAAGAUGUUAACGCACCUAGAAAAGUAAGAUACUGUAACAU